rnacentral:rRNA from 1 species
UACGGAGGGUGCGAGCGUUGUCCGGAAUCACUGGGCGUAAAGGGCGCGUAGGCGGCCUGAUAAGUAGGGGGUGAAAUCCUGCGGCUUAACCGCAGGGCUGCCUUCUAAACUGUCAGGCUCGAGCACAGUAGAGGCAGGUGGAAUUCCUGGUGUAGCGGUGAAAUGCGCAGAUAUCAGGAGGAACACCGGUGGCGAAGGCGGGUCUCUGGGCCGAUACUGACGCUGAGGAGCGAAAGCGUGGGGAGCAAACAGG